rnacentral:rRNA from 1 species
UACGGGGGGGGCAAGCGUUGUUCGGAAUUACUGGGCGUAAAGGGCUCGUAGGCGGCCAACUAAGUCAGACGUGAAAUCCCUCGGCUUAACCGGGGAACUGCGUCUGAUACUGGAUGGCUAGAGUUUGGGAGAGGGAUGCGGAAUUCCAGGUGUAGCGGUGAAAUGCGUAGAUAUCUGGAGGAACACCGGUGGCGAAGGCGACUCACUGGCCCGAUACUGACGCUGAGGCGCGAAAGCGUGGGGAGCAAACAGG